rnacentral:misc_RNA from 1 species
AACGCACAUUGCGCCCCUCGGUAUUCCGGGGGGCAUACCUGUUCGAGCGUCAUUACACCUCUCAAGCGUAGCUUGGUAUUGGGCCUCGCUCCCCCCGGGGGCGUGCCUGAAAAGUAGUGGCGGUCCGGCGUGGCCUUGAACGUAGUAAAUUUUCUCCCGUUCUGAAGGUCCGCGCCGCGGCUGGCCAGAAACACCCCACAUUUUCAAGAAUUGACCUCGGAUCAGGUAGGGAUACCCGCUGAACUUAA